GUCAGUGUGAUGUAGUGGUUUGAAUGCUGGACUAGGACUCCAAGAGAGGAGGGUUCAUUUCCCCAUGCUGUCA